ensembl:lncRNA
UUCCUUUCUUCCACCUUUCCUUCAUCUAGACUGUAAUGGCUAAGAUUUCUCAGACUCAGUAGGUCUUAUGAGGUCUGAUUCCAAGUAAACAUUGGGAAAAAUCCUCUCUGGCAAGGAGGAGGAGAAAGGUGAAUCACUUGGUUCUGCUGUCCUUAUCCAGGCAAUGGUCAGACCCAGAGGAAGCACAGCAGCAGCUCCCAGGGGUGCCUUGUUCUGCUUCUGCACGUUGUGCCGUGAAACACAAAGACACAGCUGGCAGGAUGCUGCCCUGUACGCAUAUCCAGUGCUUGUUCUGACAGCAGAUUUCUGAUAUAAAUCUAUGGCAGUGGUUGCAGAUGAAUUAAAGACAGACAAAAUGCCACACACUGUGCUGUCCAGAAAGAGCAACUCUUAAAAGCUGGGUGGACUUCGGAGCUUGGCUGGACAGGAGGUCAGAACACGAACUGUGAGUAACAGUGCUUCGGAAGAUGGACUGAAAGAUUCUUGCACUACUAAUGAAUUUCCAGGAAAACUGACUGUAAACUGCUAUCAAGAAUCUUUCCAAACCGUCGCAGCU